GGUGCGAGUUUGAUCCUGAGUUCUGACCCAGUGCAGAUACUUGGUGAGAUUAGUGGUGCUUUCUCUUCAACCCCAGCUAAAGAAAGGCCACAAGCUCACAUGUCUGCCUUAAUGGCCCUUGUGCAGUGGAUAGGCAUUAAGCCCAAACCUUUCCUUUUCUUACUCUACCUCUGGUGCCCUCAGCUCACCUCACCGCCACAGGCAAGGUAGCGGCCAGCCACCGUCCACGCCAGCCAGACGCAAAGCGGGGCCAGCCUGUUGUCCACCUUACACAGGUCAACCAGUGGCAAGCGCCCUCAGGGGAACGUGACUCGCUGGCCAGGCUGUAUGAAAGUAAGGGAUGCCAGAGACAAAACAAGGAGAGACGAUUGGUCAGCCGUUGUGUCACGCGAUCCAAGACGACAGAAGCGUGACUUCAUGAUCAGUCUUGUAUUCAUGCAUGUUAUACUACCAACUCAGCAAACUGU
rnacentral:lncRNA from 1 species